UACGUAGGGGGCUAGCGUUGUCCGGAAUCAUUGGGCGUAAAGAGCGUGUAGGCGGUCCGGUAAGUCCGCUGUGAAAGUCGGGGGCUCAACCCUCGAAUGCCGGUGGAUACUGUCGGGCUAGAGUGCGGAAGAGGCGAGUGGAAUUCCUGGUGUAGCGGUGAAAUGCGCAGAUAUCAGGAGGAACACCCGUGGCGAAGGCGGCUCUCUGGAACGCAACUGACGCUGAGACGCGAAAGCGUGGGGAGCAAACAGG
rnacentral:rRNA from 1 species